AUUAAAAGUCGAAAGGUCUUCUACCCACAAGCACCAAUGCCGAUUUGAAUAGACGCGAUGUUGUCGCCAGACAACCGUGCAGGUAGGAGUCUCAGGGUCAACACGCUUUCACACGGGAACGACUUGAGACGCAACCGCUUCGGACGUUGGACGAACGUAUGUUGCCGCAAAAGAUCAAGGCCAACUUGCUUUCAUUUUUUACAAUCUCCGUAUGGGAUGUGGAAUUUCAAAACGCGCCGAGUCUAAAUGUCAAGUUGUUUUGCUUGUUGAGAAUAAUAAUUAAUUGCCCGUUUAUAUUUGCUCCGUGGGAUUAACGUAAUGGGAAAAAUUUGUUGCAACGCAUGUGGAGGUGUCUUUGUUUGUUAACUUUUAGAAAGUAUUCUCGCACCGUAUAAAUACAUCUCAUUUUUCUCUGUUUUGUCAGUAGUUGUUUUUGGUAUUAUUCGUGCAACGUGGAAGCUAACUUAGUGGUUUGGUGUUCGUACAAAAAAGCAGUCUUAAAGAUCAUCUUAGUACUCUCAACCCGUAACCGCAAAUAGAAUAGCAGCAAUCUUAAGCAUGGACUUAAGUCAACUGAAUCAAACCUGUCUUGCAGAAGGUGAUUUUGAGCAGCCGAUUGUCAAACUGCAUGAAUUGCCGAUAGGCGUUCCGUUUAAAAUUACUAGAGCCAAAAUUGUUAAUACAAAAUUUGGCAAUUCCGUGUUGCUGCAAUUAGAAAAUUCCGUAGUAUUUCUUCCUACUCGCGUGACAGAAGCUUUCCGUCCGAGACUAGAACACUUUGCGUCGGGGCAGUACAAACUGGUCUACGAGGGAUCCAAAGAUAUUGGAAAGCCCAACUCUUUAAAGAAAUUCAAAAUAAUUCAAAAUUAAUCAACAUAUUAUACAGGGUAAGUCUUAUUUACUGUUAUAUAUUUAAUAAACCACGAUGCGCGUAAAGCAGAUCAUUCAUAGAGCGCAAAUCUUAAUUUUAACCUUACAAAAAUUAAAAAAGCAUAUU